rnacentral:rRNA from 1 species
UAGGGAAUCUUCGGCAAUGGGGGGAACCCUGACCGAGCAACGCCGCGUGAGUGAAGAAGGUUUUCGGAUCGUAAAGCUCUGUUGUUAAGGAAGAACGAGUGUGAGAAUGGAAAGUUCAUACUGUGACGGUACUUAACCAGAAAGGGACGGCUAACUACGUGUCAGCAGCCGCGGUAAUACGUAGGUCCCGAGCGUUGUCCGGAUUUAUUGGGCGUAAAGCGAGCGCAGGCGGUUAGAUAAGUCUGAAGUUAAAGGCAGUGGCUCAACCAUUGUAGGCUUUGGAAACUGUUUAACUUAAGUGCAGAAGGGGAGAGUGGAAUUCCAUGUGUAGCGGUGAAAUGCGUAGCUAUAUGUAGGAACACCGGUGGCGAACUCGGCUCUCUAGUCUGUAACUGACGCUGAGGCUCGAAAGCGUGGGUAGCGAACAGG